rnacentral:rRNA from 1 species
CAAAACAUCGCCUCCUGAUCACCCAUAGGAGGUCCAGCCUGCCCAGUGACUAAGUUAAACGGCCGCGGUACCCUAACCGUGCAAAGGUAGCGCAAUCACUUGUUCUUUAAAUGAGGACUAGUAUGAACGGCAUCACGAGGGUUAUGCUGUCUCCCUAUUCUAUUCAGUGAAACUGAUCUCCCCGUGAAGAAGCGGGGAUAAAAAUAUAAGACGAGAAGACCCCAUGGAGCUUUAAACUCAGUACCAACUGCCCAAUUAAAAACCUUUUACCCCUGCAGCUAUGGUUACUAGUUUUCGGUUGGGGUGACCACGGAGUAAAAAUUAACCUCCACGAUGAAAGGAAUUAACAACCUAACCUAUGAGCUACAGCUCUAAGUAUCAAUAAAUUGACUAAUUGAUCCAAUGACUUGAUCAACGAACCUAGUUACCCUGGGGAUAACAGCGCAAUCCAUUUCAAGAGCUCAUAUCGACAAAUGGGUUUACGACCUCGAUGUUGGAUCAGGGUAUCCCAGUGGCGCAGCCGCUACUAACGGUUCGUUUGUUCAACGAUUAAAACCCUACGUG